GACGCAGGCCGCCUAAUACCACUGCCGGAUGCAGGAGAUCUCGUGUGAUGGCUUAGUUCUUGGUGGGUUUGGAUGUGGAGCGGUGAAGGAGAAUUGGGGUCAUGGAGUUUGGUUGACAGAAGAGAGUGAGCACCCAUGGUGUUUUCCUGCAUGAAGAGGGUUCAUGCUCGAAGCUAUGCGUGCUCACUUCUCUAUCUGUCAACCAUCACCGGGUUAUGGUGUUUCUCUGCCCUUCUUCUUGCGAAAGAUGCAGCUGUCAAUUUGCGUUGUCUCUGUUAGGCCUCGCCUCGUGCAUGGCGAUCGAGUAACAGUAGCAUGCACAUAUAAUACGAUUAACAGCACGUUAAUUAGGACCGUCAUACUGAUAAGAUUUUGUCUCUUUGUUUUCUCUUUCGUAUGCUCGUCAUCAGAUCUUUCAUUUCGCCUGUUCGUCAUGCUGUGUGCUUACUUUUGCUUCUUUUUGCAAGAUGAAUCCGGCUGUUUCUUGAGAUGAAGAAUUCCCUGCUGCUAUAUCUGGACGAGCUAUCGAGUUGCAGAUGCGUUAGAACGUCUUUCUUUCUUCCUUCUCCGUGAUUCGUUUUCUCUGUGCGCAAUGAAACGUGCGUGGCGAGCACUACAAAGAAAGAUCAGCAAAAACGUGAUGGAUCAUAAAUUCUCCUCUUCUCUUCCAUUCGAUUUCCAAGCGAAUGAUGGGGAAGAAACUAUCAGAUUCACUACAUAAAGGACGAGAAAGAAUGCAGCGGCGAACCGAUGAGAGAUGCGCGGUUAGAAUUGAUGACACCGAAGAAGCAAAAGAAGAGGAGGGCAAAAAGCAAUGAUGGGAGGAUCUCAUUUCCAGGUCAAAUCAUCACUACAGUUGUAUACUGCACACUUUCUUCGUAUCCUUGUGGAGAUGCUUAUCCCUUUCUUUGUGAUACAACUCAGUCAAUAGUGUGCUUUUCCUCAGUUCUCAUCAAACAUUUAUGAUGUUUUCUAAAAUAUAAUGACCUUUUUUUCUGCUUUUAA